rnacentral:misc_RNA from 1 species
GAAAUAAAAAAACCGCCAUGUUUUGUGUUGGACAGUUUCUGAGAAGAAUCAGUAAUAUGUUUUACUACUAAAUAACUAUCAAAAAUAAUAGGCUAAUUGAGCGCCUGCGUUCUAGAAAUAAUGCACGGAGGUCUUUAAGACAAGAAACGUUUCAAUAGGCUAUUUCGUCAGUGUGAUCAGCUGCAAUUUCCUCCUGAAGUAAAAACUACGGCGAAAAAUGACGACAGAGACGAGUGAACAAACUCAAAAAUAUCUGGGUUUGACUUCGCCGGUCAGCACGUCCGAGCCGACAAAAGAAGACUCUCGAUUGACAGAAUCACUUGAAUUAGCACUACAUCCUCAUGGUGUAUUUGAAUCGGAAGACGAAAGUCAAAAACGAAUUAACGUACUGGACAAAAUAAAUAAGCUAGUAAAAGAAUGGAUUUAUGAAGUAUCACAGAGUAAGAAUAUGGAUGAACAUAUGAUAGAGCAGGUUGGUGGCCAAAUUUAUACUUUCGGCUCGUACCGACUGGGUGUCAACCAAAAAGGUGCUGAUAUUGAUACCUUGUGUGUGGCACCUCGUCACAUUGACAGAAACGAAUUUUUUACGACUUUUUACGAGAAACUUAAAAAGCUGUCAGAAGUUAAAGAGUUGCGUGCCGUUCCGGACGCCUAUGUUCCCGUUAUAAAGAUGACUUUCGAUGGCAUCGAAUUGGAUAUGCUCUUUGCAAGAUUGGCUCUUCAAGCCAUUACAAAGGAGCAGGACUUGUGCGAGUUGUCACUAUUAAAGAAUCUGGAUGAGAAAAGUGUUCGAAGCUUGAACGGUUGCCGGGUGACCGAUGAAAUUAUCAAGCUUGUACCACAGCAGGAAAGCUUCAGGCUAGCUUUGAGAGCUAUUAAAUUGUGGGCGAAGAAAAAGGGUAUCUAUAGUAAUGUUCUUGGAUUCCUUGGUGGGGUGUCUUGGGCUAUGUUGGUUGCUAGGGUUUGCCAACUCUAUCCAAACGCCGCCGCCGCUACAAUCGUCAAUAAAUUUUUUCUAGUCUAUGAUCAGUGGAAGUGGCCUCAGCCUGUGCUGCUAAAACAUCCAGAUAGUGAUGAAGCAGCAAAACAGGGCUUAAGCUUUCCUGAGUGGGAUCCGCGUGUGAAUCACAAAGAUCGAUUUCAUUUAAUGCCAAUAAUCACACCUGCCUAUCCGCAGCAAAAUUCCACUUUUAACGUUACCAAUUCAACUAGGAAUAUCAUGACAAUGGAAUUUAAGAGAGGAUUGGAGGUAACAAAUGCUAUAUUUGCUGGAAAAGACGACUGGGAGUCGCUCUUUAAACCAUCAGAUUUUUUUACACGCUAUAAGCAUUACAUUGUAGUCAUAGCCAAAGCUGCGACUGCAGACCAUCAACUAGAAUGGAAUGGUUUGGUUGAAUCAAAAAUUCGAUUCUUAGUUGCGAAUUUGGAAUCUAUUGAUCAUAUAAUUCUAGCUCACGUAUCAACUGAAUCAUUUUGCUCAAAGUCUGAAGAUGACGAGCAAACCAAAUGGUUUAUCGGUUUGGAAUUUGGCAGAACCGAUAAUGUCAAUAUAAAUUUAACAGAUCAAAUUCGCCAUUUUACUUCAGAUGUUUAUCACAAAGCUGUUAACAUUCAACUGUACAAAGAUGAUAUGGUAUUGGAUGUUUUACAUGUUAGAAAGAAGGAACUUAAGAAUUAUUUACCUCAAGAUGUAUACAAUAGAGUAGGAUUGAAGAAGAAAAGCUUCGUUAAACGAAACUCGUUGUCGAUGUCGCCAAAUAAUGACACUGGAGGUAACUCCCCUGAUGUUAACGGCCAUAAUGAGGUAAGAAAAUUAGAAAUAAUUUGCCUUUGGGUGGAAAUUAAUUUACAUCUAGGUGAUAAGAGAGAAAAAAAGAGGCGGCUAUUCGUCCGGUGAUUGUUCGCUCUAUGCGCGUUUUCGUCCCUCAAACGCGCGACGCGGCAUAUAUCAUCGAAAAAGCACGGAUUAGCGAGUGAUCUGAUUUUUAAAAUAGUGAGACGAUCCUCCCUAACAAAGCCUAUCUUUCCCCUCUAAAACUCGCUUCCUCCGUUUAAUAAUUUUUUGGUGAAUUUUAUCAUUUAGGAACCAACCACUUGCAGUCAAUUUAACUUUUACCUUUAAUACCUGUAAUUUAUCAAAAUAUAUUUAUGACAAUGAUCAGUUACUGGACAAAUAGUCGCAAAACAGUACACCAGCAUUAAACCUUUUCUUUCCAACUAACAAAUCUGCUUUCUCACAGACAAUUAAAAAUCUAAAUGAGUCGUUAGCACUUACGGCUAAACGACAGAGAAUUUCAGAUAGUCCGUCAUCGGACAAUUUAAGCUCAGUUGAGUUGAAGGUAGCAACGGCCACUUACAAAAAUCUCUUCAAAAACUUCAAGCUAACUAACUGAACUGCUUUCAGACUAACAAGAAUUUGAAUGAGUCGUCGGAAACUCGUAAACGACCAAGAACAUCUGAUAGUGUAUCCUCCGACAAUUCAAAUUCAAUUGAUUUUAAGACCAAUAAAAACUCGAGUGAUUCGUCGGUACCUCCCAAACGUGCCAGAUUGUCAGAUAGUCAAUCCUCCGACAAUUCACACAUUGUUGAUUUUAAGAACUCUGGCAGCGGACGUUCAGCCAACGAUUCGCCCAUUACAGUACGUAUUAAUAAUCAUAAUAGUUUUUUUAGAGCAAAGAAAAAUGGUUCAGUUGUCACCGAGUCUGAAUAUUUGCCACAGCAAACGCUUACCAUUUUGUAAAAUUAAACAUCCAUAUUUGUUGUUAGGUUUUGGGAAAAUCCACCCAAUCAGAUUCUCGUGACUCAAAUUAUCCGGACGUUUCGAACUCUGAACGGAUAUCUAGCGGUUCUCAAGUAGGUUAUCUGAAAUUAAGCUUUUCUUUCAUAGUGCAUAAUAGUUUGGAAAUAUCCACAUUGCUAAAAAUUGUAUAAUAUUAAUUGUAUUAUUAUCAAUUUUCAGGCUAAUUUGCCCGUAGUUGAGGCCCAAUAGACGGUCAUCCUGUAACUUUUUGGUUUAUGAAAUUUCCUCCUUCGUUAUUUAUUGGGGAUCAAAAGUUUGUCGGUGGUAUGAUUGAAAUAAAAAAAAAACAUUAAGAAAAAAAAAUUUUUCGUGUUCGGCUCGCUUUGGUGGGCUGUACACUAUUAUUUUAGCGAAACUACCCACAUAUGUUAAUAUUGAAGUGUGUGUAAGUUCUUUUCAAACAGCUUCAUUCCGUUUAUGCAUUUCGAGGAAAACGAAAAACAGAAUGCUAGCGCAGUUUUUGGUAGUGGUUGAAUGAGGGAUUGACGUUAAGUCUGUAUCAAUGUUGCCUAUAGUAUCAAAUUUUUGUACGAUUUUUGUGGUUUUUUUAAUAAUGUAAACUCAUAGCAAGUGAUUAUUCUAGCGCAAAAUGUCAUUAUUUUUAUUGGGGCGAUGAAGAUUCAACCGACUUUGUGUAAAGACCAUUUCGUUUCUUAUGUGCCUCUUAUAUUAUAGUUUUAGUAUGUUUUUGUACCAUAGUUAUGUAAAUAAAAGUUAAAGAGAUUUGGAUUUGCAGG